rfam:Hordeum vulgare subsp. vulgare, WGS project CAJW01000000 data, contig: morex_contig_136027
UAUAUACUCCCUCCACCUGAAAAUACUUGUCGGAUAAAUAGAUAUAUCUAGAUGUACUUUAGUUUUAGAUAUAUCUAUUUUUAUCCAUUUUGCGACAAAUAAUUUUAGACGGAGGGAGUACAUG